UCGGUCAUAGUGUAAUGGUUAUCAUGUAAGAUUGUCGUUCUUUUGAUCCGGGUUCGAUUCCCGGUGACCGAG
rfam:Trichomonas vaginalis G3, whole genome shotgun sequence.